GUGUCAGCAGCCGCGGUAAGACGUAGGGGGCGAGCGUUGUCCGGAGUUAUUGGGCGUAAAGGGCGUGCAGGCGGUUGGGUAAGUUUGGGGUGACAGUGCUCGGCUUAACUGAGCAAGGGCCUCGAAAACUGCUGAACUUGAGGACCAGAGAGGGACACAGAAUUCCGGGUGGAGUGGUGAAAUGCGUAGAUAUCCGGAGGAAUACCAAAGGCGAAGGCAGUGUCCUGGUUGGUAACUGACGCUGAGGCGCGAAAGCUAGGGGAGCGAACAGGAUUAGAUACCCUGGUAGUCC
rnacentral:rRNA from 1 species